rnacentral:rRNA from 1 species
GACGAACGCUGGCGGCGUGCUUAACACAUGCAAGUCGAACGGUAAGGCCCUUCGGGGUACACGUGUGGCGCACGGGUGAGUAACACGUGGGUGAUCUGCCCUGCACUUCGGGAUAAGCCUGGGAAACUGGGCCUAAUACCGGAUAGGACCACUGCCUGCAUGGGUGGUGGUGGUCGGCUUUUGCGGUGUGGGAUGGGCCCGCGGCCUAUCAGCUUGCUGGUGGGGUGAUGGCCUACCAAGGCGACGACGGGGAGCCGGCCUGAGAGGGUGACCGGCCACACUGGGACUGAGAUACGGCCCAGACUCCUACGGGAGGCAGCAGUGGGGAAUAUUGCACAAUGGGCGCAAGCCUGAUGCAGCGACGCCGCGUGAGGGAUGACGGCCUUCGGGUUGUAAACCUCUUUCAGCACCGACGAAGCGCAAGUGACGGUAGGUGCAGAAGAAGGACCGGCCAACUACGUGCCAGCAGCCGCGGUAA